GCAGUCGUGGCGAGAAGCUUUUUUUGCUUGCAUUAAAAGUGGACAGCGGCGAAAGGGAGAGUAACGCGUGGAUAUCUACCCCUAGACCCGGGAUAGCUGCGGGAAACUGCAGGUAAUACCGGAUAAUGUCUCCGGACCAAAGGUGUGAUUCCGUCUAGGGAUGAGUCCGCGUCCUACUAGCUUGUUGGUGGGGUAAAAGCCUACCAAGGCAAUGAUGGGUAGCGGGUGUGAGAGCAUGGCCCGUCUCACUGGGACUGAGACACUGCCCAGACACCUACGGGUGGCUGCAGUCGAGAAUCUUCCGCAAUGGACGAAAGUCUGACGGAGCGACGCCGCGUGCGGGAUGAAGGCCCUCGGGUUGUAAACCGCUGUCAGUUGGGAGGAAAUGCAUAAGGGUUCUCUCUUAUGUUUGACCGAUCUUCAGAGGAAGUCCGGGCUAAGUUCGUGCCAGCAGCCGCGGUAAGACGAACCGGACGAACGUUAUUCGGAAUCACUGGGCUUAAAGAGUGCGUAGGCGGCUUGGUAGGUUGGGUGUGAAAUCCCACAGCUCAACUGUGGAACUGCGCUCAAAACCACCAAGCUUGAGGAAGGCAGAGGUGAGCGGAACUGAUGGUGGAGCGGUGAAAUGCGUUGAUAUCAUCAGGAACACCGGUGGCGAAGGCGGCUCACUGGGCCUUUUCUGACGCUGAGGCACGAAAGCUAGGGUAGCGAACAGGAUUAGAUACCCUGGUAGUCCUAGCUGUAAACGAUGAGCACUUGAUCGAGGG
rnacentral:rRNA from 1 species